UACGUAGGGGGCUAGCGUUAUCCGGAUUUACUGGGCGUAAAGGGUGCGCAGGUUGUUUGAUAAGUCAGUGGUGAAAGUCUGUCGCUUAACGGUAGGAUUGCCAUUGAUACUGUUGGACUUGAAUAUGGGUGAGGUAGGCGGAAUGUGUAGUGUAGCGGUGAAAUGCAUAGAUAUUACACAGAACACCGAUUGCGAAGGCAGCUUACUAAUCCAUCAUUGACGCUGAGGCACGAAAGCGUGGGGAUCAAACAGGAUUA
rnacentral:rRNA from 1 species